rnacentral:rRNA from 1 species
AGAAUCAACGCUGGCGGCGUGCCUAACACAUGCAAGUCGAACGAGAAAGUGGAGCAAUCCAUGAGUAAAGUGGCGACCGGGUGAGUAACACGUGACUAACCUACCUUCGAGUGGGGGAUAACAUCGGGAAACCGAUGCUAAUACCGCAUAACAUCGCAAGAUCAAAGCAGCAAUGCGCUGGAAGAGGGGGUCGCGGCUGAUUAGCUAGUUGGCGGGGUAACGGCCCACCAAGGCGAAGAUCGGUAGCCGGCCUGAGAGGGCGCACGGCCACACUGGAACUGAAACACGGUCCAGACUCCUACGGGAGGCAGCAGUGGGGAAUUUUGCGCAAUGGGGGAAACCCUGACGCAGCAACGCCGCGUGGAGGAUGAAGCCCUUGGGGCGUAAACUCCUUUCGACCAAGACGAUAAUGACGGUACUGGUGGAAGAAGCACCGGCUAACUCUGCGCCAGCAGCCGC